AUCAACGGUCAAAUCACGUUGUAAAGUACCGGUUCUCGUCCGAUCACCGUAGUCAAGCAACGUUGAGCACGGUUAGUACUUAGAUGGGAGACUGCUUGGGAACACCGUGUGCUGUUGACUU
rnacentral:rRNA from 1 species